UACGAGGGGGGCAAAUGUUGUUCGGAAUCACUGGGCUUAAAGGGUGCGUAGGCGGCCAUUUAAGUAGGGUGUGAAAUGCCAGAGCUCAACUUUGGCAUUGCGCUCUAGACUGAAUGGCUUGAGUGAGAUAGGGGUGUGCGGAACUUCCAGUGGAGCGGUGAAAUGUGUUGAUAUUGGAAGGAACGCCGGUGGCGAAAGCGGCACACUGGGUCUUAACUGACGCUGAGGCACGAAAGCCAGGGGAGCGAACGGG
rnacentral:rRNA from 1 species